GGAAUAUUGCGCAAUGGGCGAAAGCCUGACGCAGCGACGCCGCGUGAAGGAUGAAGGUCUUCGGAUUGUAAACUUCUGUUAAGAGGGAAGAAAGCUCAAGUUCUAAUACAGCUUGAGUAUGACGUUACCUCUAGAGAAAGCACUGGCUAACAUCGGGACAGCAGCCGCGGUAAAACGAGGGGUGCAAACGUUAUCCGGAUUUACUGGGCGUAAAGGGUGCGUAGACCGCACAUUAAGUUUGUUGUUAAAUCUCCCGGCCUAACCGGGAGCUUGCGAUGAAAACUAAUAUGCUAGAGGGUGGAAGAGAGAAGUGGAAUUCUUGGAGUAGCGGUAAAAUGCGUAGAUCUCAAGAGGAACACCGAUGGCGAAGGCAGCUUCUUGGUCCAUCCCUGACGUUGAGGCACGAAAGCGUGGGUAGCAAAC
rnacentral:rRNA from 1 species